CAUCAACUUGUUUUGCACUUUUAAAUAAGAUGCUUCGAUUUUGAUUUUGGCUCUACAAGCGAAUGAUCAGUGGGUAUUCUAUGGGUAAUAUUUGUGUCGUAAUGCAUCUCAAAUCGGCCUGGGAUGGCAAUGCGAGGCGAAUGAUUUUUGUUCUUUUUUCCAAGCGUUUCAGGUUGAUCAUUUUGAUUAUCAUUAGCUGGUCAUUUACUCGUCUAUGCUUAAAACUGCUUAGUUGUGGAAAUGUAGUAUUUUACCUAAGUGGUAAACUAUGGAGUGCUAUUUUUGCAAUUAUAGUUUACAAUGUGUAAUAUGACCAGGUGCCAAUGUACAAAGUUGUAUGAUUAAAUCCCCCCAUGCAGGUUAAACUCUCAUUAUCUACCACGCCUUUCUAAACAUGUGUUGUUGCUAGCUUCAGAUGGGAUUUCUUCUGUUAUGUAUAUGUACGGAGGCUUCGUAUGUCUUCUUACUUAUAACCCUGAUUGGUAUGCAGGUUCCUGUUUUUUUUUCUUGAUCUAGCUCUGCUCAUUUCAAUUGUUUGUUUUGCUUCCCUAUCCUCUUGUUUUGGUACCUGACAAGGUGUUUAGUCUUUUCCUCUUUUCUUUCAAAAAUUGGGUGGUACAUGAUUUUUUUGGUAAAUCUUUGUGAAUUGAUGUAACUGAAUAAGUGAAUAAGCAUUCAGAAGUUGUUAAAUACAAUACGAGUUUUUUUGGGGUAAAUCUGCAUGUUAGAAAAUGCAUGCCAUAUAUUAUUCUGUCUAUUUCAUUUGGCAAUUUUAUGGCUUUCCUUUAUUGUCUUCACUAUUGUAUUCUAACAGCCCUACUUAAUUCGGUUUUAAGAACACUAUGACCAUUCAAAUCAUGUAAACUGAGUCUGACGGCGAUUGUCUUCACUCACUUAUCUGAAUAUAUGUGGUUCUUUGUUCUAAGUCUAGGAGCAGAUCACCAUCCCAGAAAGGUGCGGCUAUUACACCACCCUGUAUUGGUGGUGCGCUCU